rnacentral:rRNA from 1 species
AUUGAACGCUGGCGGCAGGCCUAACACAUGCAAGUCGAGCGGAGCGGCGGACGGGUGAGUAAUGCCUAGGAAUCUGCCUGGUAGUGGGGGAUAACGUCCGGAAACGGGCGCUAAUACCGCAUACUAUCAGAUGACCCUAGGUCGGAUUAGCUAGUUGGGGGGGUAACGGCCUACCAAGGCGAGGAUCCGUAACUGGUCUGAGAGGAUGAUAAGUACAACUGGAACUGAGACACGGUCCAGACUCCUAGGGGAGGCAGCAGUGGGGAAUAUUGGAAAAUGGGCGAAAGCCUGAUCCAGCCAUGCGGCGUGUGUGAAGAAGGUCUUCGGAUUGUAAAGCACUUUAAGUUGGGAGGCGUUACCAACAGAAUAGGCGCCGGCUAACUUCGUGCCAGAAGCCGCGGUAAUAC